UGAAGAGAGAGAGAGAGAGAGAUGAUCAUCAAUGGUCGGCGGCAAACAAGGAAGAGCUGUGAUGAGUUGAAGCGACGACAAGUUGGAAUUUUGAGAUUUUGGGUUUCAUAGUGAGUGAAGUCUUGAAAUAGGAGGCAGAAGCGAGAGAAGCGUGUGAGCUGUUCUAUUGGAUCAAAAAGAUUAUGAGUUCCGGAAGAAGAGAGGACUUCAUGAGUUGUGUAAAUGAAUCAUAGCCUUGAAGGUCUCUUCAUUGCAGUUUCAGGAAACAUAGGAAGAAGAAGAAGAAUAUGUCGCGAGACAGAGAUUUCUGCUGGAUCAAAAAGCUUGGAAUUAAAGAUUCACGUCUUCCAAGUGGUUGUUUUAACUUUUAACUUCAGGUACAUCACAAGAGGUAGGGGCUUAGUAUGCUAGUUCAUAUCAGUUGUCAACCAAUGUUUGGUUAGAUGCAGUUUCUUGAUAAUACAGCAGGUGUUGUUGGGGAUAUCUAUUCUCAAGGAUAUUCUUUUAUGGAGAAGACAUUGUUUAAGGUAUAAUUAAGAUCCCACGGUGUUAUGAUAUUCUUGUGGACUAUAUCAUAAUGUAUGUUUUACGGCUGUAAGUUAUAUCAUUGGUUCUUCAGUAGCUGUAGGAAGAGUCUUGGGGGUAUCACUUAAAUUUCUGAUAUGAGGCAAGGUUAAGAUUUUAUGGUCGGAGAAUCAUAGCUAGUUACCUCAAGACUUGAACUAGUGUGGUUCUGUUUUCUGUUUUUAGGACUCACUACAAGAGUAAAAUUGUGAAGGCUAGCUUGGAGAACCACACUACUUGGCAGAGAGUAUGAACUAUGAGAAACAUAUAAACGGAUUGACAAGUUGAAGAAGAACACAAAAGAAAAACGAAAUCAGCACUCUUAAACCAACAACACACUGCAGAGUCACAAAAAUCCCACUGACUCUUUGCAAGCUUCAUUUCAUAGCAAUGGAGAGAAGAGUUGACUGAGCCUUUUUGGUUCUUGAUGAGUGCUCCCAGAGAAGUGGUUACACUGAUAGCAGAAGGGGUAGAUCCAAGUCUUUGCAGUAAAAUUGGAGCGGAGCCUAAGGGAGGGUAGAAGAUGCAGGUGGUUAGUGGGAUCACGCACUUGCUUGGUUAGACCUUAGAGAGAGACCAAAGUUUCCAAGUCUUAAUGACUUGACAUACGGAUCAUUGAUAUACAUUGCUCGUGUGGUGCGUGGAUAUAUCAUCUAUAUGAGAAUAAGCGAACUAAUCAUCAUACGGAGGAUGAUAAGCGAAAACGGAAAAUAGGAAUAUUGAAGAAUGAAGAUAUUUCCUAUUGGUAGAGUAACGUGUUGCUGACUUGCUGGUUGGGUUCAUGUGACUUGUUUCUUUUAACUUGAGAUAUUAUUCGUUGGUUGGAUGAAGUUCAAACUAAGUUUUCAA